rnacentral:rRNA from 1 species
UACGAAGGGUGCAAGCGUUACUCGGAAUUACUGGGCGUAAAGCGUGCGUAGGUGGUUCGUUAAGUCUGAUGUGAAAGCCCGGGGCUCAACCUGGGAAUGGCAUUGGAAACUGGCGACCUAGAGUGCGGUAGAGGGUAGUGGAAUUCCCGGUGUAGCAGUGAAAUGCGUAGAGAUCGGGAGGAACAUCCGUGGCGAAGGCGACUACCUGGACCAGCACUGACACUGAGGCACGAAAGCGUGGGGAGCAAACAGG